ensembl:miRNA
ACUGGCAGGUUUUUCUCUGAAGUGACAGGUUCUGUUUUUGAGAAAAAUCUGCCAGCU